rnacentral:misc_RNA from 1 species
AAGGAUCAUUAUUGAAUAAACUUGGUGGGUUGUCGCUGGCUUUUCGGAGCAUGUGCACGCUCACCAUCUUUAUCAAUCCACCUGUGCACUUUUUGUAGUCUUGGGGAAUCAAGUGGCAAACUCUCGACAGGUUACUACUAGCCAUUCGGAUGUGAGGAAUGCUGUGUGAAAGCAUAGCUCUCUUCAAAAUGCCUCUGACUACUCUAGACUAUGUCUUUCAUAUACCACAUAGUAUGUUACAGAAUGUAUCAAUGGGCCUCUGUGCCUAUAAAACUUAAAACAACUUUCAGCAACGGAUCUCUUGGCUCUC